rnacentral:rRNA from 1 species
GACGAACGCUGGCGGCGUGCUUAACACAUGCAAGUCGAACGAUGAAGCCUAGCUUGCUAGGUGGAUUAGUGGCGAACGGGUGAGUAAUACGUGAGUAACCUACCUUUAACUCUGGGAUAAGCCUGGGAAACUGGGUCUAAUACCGGAUACGACCAAUCUCCGCAUGGGGUGUUGGUGGAAAGCGUUAUGUAGUGGUUAUAGAUGGGCUCACGGCCUAUCAGCUUGUUGGUGAGGUAACGGCUCACCAAGGCGACGACGGGUAGCCGGCCUGAGAGGGUGACCGGCCACACUGGGACUGAGACACGGCCCAGACUCCUACGGGAGGCAGCAGUGGGGAAUAUUGCACAAUGGGCGCAAGCCUGAUGCAGCGACGCCGCGUGAGGGAUGACGGCCUUCGGGUCGUAAACCUCUGUUAGCAGGGAAGAAGAGAGAUUGACGGUACCUGCAGAGAAAGCGCCGGCUAACUACGUG